rnacentral:rRNA from 1 species
GACGAACGCUGGCGGCGUGCUUAACACAUGCAAGUCGAACGGAAAGGCCCUGCUUUUGUGGGGUGCUCGAGUGGCGAACGGGUGAGUAACACGUGAGUAACCUGCCCUUGACUUUGGGAUAACUUCAGGAAACUGGGGCUAAUACCGGAUAGGAGCUCCUGCUGCAUGGUGGGGGUUGGAAAGUUUCGGCGGUUGGGGAUGGACUCGCGGCUUAUCAGCUUGUUGGUGGGGGAGUGGCUUACCAAGGUUUUGACGGGUAGCCGGCCUGAGGGGGUGACCGGCCACAUUGGGACUGAGAUACGGCCCAGACUCCUACGGGAGGCAGCAGUGGGGAAUAUUGCACAAUGGGCGGAAGCCUGAUGCAGCAACGCCGCGUGCGGGAUGACGGCCUUCGGGUUGUAAACCGCUUUCGCCUGUGACGAAGCGUGAGUGACGGUAAUGGGUAAAGAAGCACCGGCUAACUACGUG